rnacentral:rRNA from 1 species
ACAAAUCUAGCAAGGAGGGCUGACGCUCAGCGACUCGUAGCAACAAGGCUACUUGACGGUACACGACCGCUUGGUCAUUCAGUCGUCUGCAGAGGAUUCAUCCCGGCGAGGUGAAUUGCAAUUCGCAGCAGCUCCAGGGGCUUCUCCUAGGAGCGUGCCAGCUGCUGAGGUGCAUGGCCGGAGGCUAUUCGUAUCCAACUACGACGUGCGGGGCAACAUGGCGUUCCGGCAGGAUUCUGAUUAGAGGCGUUCAGCAUUAUCGGCAGAUGGUAGCGUCGCGGCACUGCUGGUCAGACAGCGCAAAAACAAUUAUUGAAUCAACGGUUCUCUCGUAUAAUUGAAUUACGUUGCGGCGACUUCAUCAGUAGGGUAAACUAACCUGUUCACGACGGUCUAACCAGCUCACGUUCCUAUUAGUGGGUGAACAUCAACGCUUACGAAUUCUGCUUCGGUAUGAUAGGAAGAGCGACAUCGAAGGAUAAAAGCAACGUCGCUAUGAAGCUUGGCUGCACAAGCAGUUAUCCUGUGGUAAUUUUCUGGCACUCUAGCUCAAUUUCGAGGGACUAAAGGAUCGAUAGGCCACUUUCAUGGUUUGUAUUCACAUGAAAUCAAAUCAAGGGGAUUUACCUUUUGUUCUACUGGAGAUUUCUGUUCUCCAUGAGUCCUUAGGACACUGGUUGUGGUUUAACAGAUGUGCGCCAGCAAACUCCCACUGACAAUGUUUCAACCGGAUGGCCGCGAAGGACUUAAGCAGAAGAUGGGCGGUGAGCCAGUUCGCUUCAUUGAAUAGUAAAAACGAUAAAGGUAGUGGUAUUUACUGGCGCGAAGCUCCACUAUUCUACACCCAUAUGUUUUUCACAUGUAACUAGAGUCAGCUCAACAGGGUCUUCUUUCCCGCUGAUUCUGCAAGCCGUUCCUUGGCUGUGGUUUCGCUAGAUAGUAGAUAGGGACAGUGGGAAUCUCGUUAAUCCAUUAUGCGCGUCACUAAUUAGAUGAGAGGCAUUUGGCUACUUAAGAGAGUCAUAGUUAUCCCGCGUUUACCGCGCUUGGUUGAAUUUUUCACUUUGACAUUCAGAGCAUGGGCAGAAUACAUUGCGUCAACACAUUUCUGGCAUCGCAAUGCUAUGUUUUAAUUAGACAGUCAGAUUCCCUUGUCGUACAGUUCUAAGUUGGUCGUUAGCGCCGCGGAGGCGAAGCUGCAAGGGCGUCCCACCGGUGCUGGGGGCGCGGCGGUUGCCGGCUAGUGCCCUGCUCGAGGGGUUUCCCAAGGCCAGCGAGCCGACCUUAGAGCCAUCCUUAUCCGAAGUUACGGAUCAUUUUGCGACUUCCUUAUCUACAUUGUUCUAUCAACUAGAGGCUGUUCACUUGGAGACUGCUGCGGUUAUGAGUAGACUGGCGUGAAACUAUUCCUUCCGGGAUUUUCAAGGAUGUCGGGGGCGCCGGACCUGCAAGGUGCAGGGUCUGCGGCGUGGAACCUAGUCGGACAACGAUUUCAGGGUGAUAGGCGUCAAGAAGAAAGAGAAUCUUCCAGGACCCGCGAUGUUCGGUUCAGUUACGUUGCCGUGGAGAAUCACAUCCAGGUGCGGAAUGUUAACGGCUUCCUUUCGGCACACGGCGCACGAGGGCGCUUUCAACGGAACUUCCUAUGCUUAGGAUCGACUAACCAUGUCAACUGCUGUUCAAUGGAACUUUCCCAUUCAGUCUCAAGUUUCAUUUGAGUAUUUGCUACUACCAAGAUUGCACUAGGGGCGUUGACCGGGAUCAUCCAGGCUUCGUCAGGACCCACGCUGCUAUCGUCGGGGCAUGUUCUACCGAGGCGAGGUAUGGGUAGCACGCUUGAGCGCAUCCAUUUUCAGGGCUAGUUAUUCGGCCGUGAGUUGUUAACACUCUUAGCGGAUUCCGAUUCCAUGGCACGUCGGGCUGUCUAGAUGAAUAACACUUUUGUGGUGUCUGAUGAGCGUGCAUUCGGACUUAACUCGCGUUCGGUUAUCCGAUCGCAGUUCUGCUUACAAAAUGGCCAUAGUAAGCUCAUUCUAAUGCCAGUUCAACUAAGCACAGGGUUCUUACAUAUUUAAAGUUUGAGAAUAGGUUAAGGUUGUUUCAACCCAAUGCUCUAAUAUUCGCUUUACUCAUAAACUGAUUUUGCGUUACUGCUAUCUGAGGGAAACUUCGGCAGGAACAGCUACUAGAUGGUUGAUUAGUCUUUCGCCCUAUACCAAUUUGACGAUCGAUUUGCACGUCAGAACGCUGCGAGCUCCACAGAGUUUCCUCUGGUUCGCCUAUUCAGGCAUAGUUACAUCUUUCGGGUCCCAGUAGCUCUUACUCAAUCCAUCCGAAGACAUCAGGAUCGGUCGAUGGUGCGCCCGCAAGGGGGUCCACUCGUUGCUUUCACUGCGCGCACGGGUUUGACACCGAACUCGCGUAGAUGUUAGACUCUUGGUCGUGUUUCAAGACGGGUCGUUUACGACAUUAUGCAGCGUCCGUGCGAGCGCGUUCUCGGUCAGGCUGGCGCAUUGCACCUGGCUAUAAGGUGCCCGGAGGGCAUACAUUCAGGGGCUUUGACGGCGCCAACGACGCUGGCCGCCACGGGGAAGUAACGGCAGAAUGCGGCUGAACCGCGGGCGAGUCUGGUCGCAAGCGCUUCCUUUCAACAUUUCAGUGCUGUUUACUCUCUUUCAAAGUGCUUUUCAUUUUCGAUCACUCUACUUGUGCGCUAUCGGUCUCCGGCAGUAUUUAGCUUUAGAUGAAUUUACACCAUUUAGAGCUGCAUUCCCAAAACUCGACUCGUCGAAGGAGCUUUACACGGGCACGGACACCGCCAAGACGGGAUUCUCACCUCUCUGACGGCCGUUCAGGGCAUUAGACGGGGGCGACCAAAGCAUCUCUGCAAUUACAUGCGGAUCGAAGGAGCAGCUUUCAAUUUGAGCUCUUGCGCUUCACUCGCCGUUACUGAGGCAAUCCGGUUGGUUUCUUUUCCUCCGCUUAUUGAUAUGCUUAAGUUCAGCGGGUAUCCUACUGAUCGAGGUCAACCUGGAAGAAUGGUUGGAAACGUCGGCAGGCGGGCAAUCCUACAGAGCAUGUGAAAGCCAUAGCUCGAGGAUGGACGCGGUGCGCGCUGCUUUCGGGCCGUCCCGAGAGGGGGACGGGACCAACACAAGCGGGCUUGAGGGCAGCAAUGAGCUCGGACAGGCAUGCCCCGGAAUACAGGGGCGCAAUGUGCGUUCAAAGACUCGAUGAUUCUGAAUUCUGCAAUUCACAUUAGUUAUCGAUUUCGCUGCGUUCUUCAUCGAUGCGGAACAGAGAUCAUUGUUGAAGUU